UAUGUCCGUAAAAUUCUGCAAACUGAGAAUGCAUUCCAUACUUCAUCAGCUGAGUGAUGGUUACAAAAAAAUUUUAAAAAUCAGCUCAAAAUCCUACAAUUUUUCAACGGGCUGUGGACUGGGAAUAACAUACGAGAACAAUACUUGAUUGACAAAUUGAUAAGAGUAACAAUUUCACCUUCUCGCUCCUAAAUUGGCAAUUCUUUGCAAAGAGUGGCCCCAGGAUUUUGUUUCUCCCAGAACAAGAAGCCUCCAUGUCCACCCAGUAAAGGUAGUCUACUCUCCAUCAAGACAAGAAAUCGGACAAGAAAUCUAAGGGAGGAAGGAGGGGUUUCAGGGCUUCAAUAUUUCUAUCAUUCAUUGUAUGGGGUUUCUUGUUUUGUGGAUGCCUGUGAAGAGUAUGAAUUUGGUAUUGUAUACUGUAGUUUCUCUGAUAUUAAAUGAACCUUUGAAAUGAGGUUCAUGUUUUAUUUUCAAUAAAGAUUAAAUAUUUCCCAGCUUAAAAUACACGUGGAAGCUUACUUGUUCCCCAUUUGUGAUGCAUGUCCUUUCUCGGGAUAUUUUUAUGUAACACUGCCUCAGAAUACAUAUCAGGUAAUUAUUUUAUGAAGCUAUUCAAGUACACACUUGCAACAUA